rnacentral:rRNA from 1 species
GGGUUGUGAGGUUAAGCGACUAAGCGUACACGGUGGAUGCCCUGGCAGUCAGAGGCGAUGAAGGACGUGCUAAUCUGCGAUAAGCGCCGGUAAGGUGAUAUGAACCGUUAUAACCGGCGAUUUCCGAAUGGGGAAACCCAGUGUGAUUCGUCACACUAUCAUUAACUGAAUCCAUAGGUUAAUGAGGCGAACCGGGGGAACUGAAACAUCUAAGUACCCCGAGGAAAAGAAAUCAACCGAGAUUCCCCCAGUAGCGGCGAGCGAACGGGGAGGAGCCCAGAGCCUGAAUCAGCAUGUGUGUUAGUGGAAGCGUCUGGAAAGGCGCGCGAUACAGGGUGACAGCCCCGUACACAAAAGCGCAUGUGCUGUGAGCUCGAUGAGUAGGGCGGGACACGUGGUAUCCUGUCUGAAUAUGGGGGGACCAUCCUCCAAGGCUAAAUACUCCUGACUGACCGAUAGUGAACCAGUACCGUGAGGGAAAGGCGAAAAGAACCCCGGCGAGGGGAGUGAAAAAGAACCUGAAACCGUGUACGUACAAGCAGUGGGAGCACAGGUUUACCUGUGUGACUGCGUACCUUUUGUAUAAUGGGUCAGCGACUUAUAUUCUGUAGCAAGGUUAACCGAAUAGGGGAGCCGGAGGGAAACCGAGUCUUAACCGGGCGUUAAGUUGCAGGGUAUAGACCCGAAACCCGGUGAUCUAGCCAUGGGCAGGUUGAAGGUUGGGUAACACUAACUGGAGGACCGAACCGACUAAUGUUGAAAAAUUAGCGGAUGACCUGUGGCUGGGGGUGAAAGGCCAAUCAAACCGGGAGAUAGCUGGUUCUCCCCGAAAGCUAUUUAGGUAGCGCCUCGUGAAUUCAUCUCCGGGGGUAGAGCACUGUUUCGGCUAGGGGGCCAUCCCGGCUUACCAACCCGAUGCAAACUGCGAAUACCGGAGAAUGUUAUCACGGGAGACACACGGCGGGUGCUAACGUCCGUCGUGAAGAGGGAAACAACCCAGACCGCCAGCUAAGGUCCCAAAGUCAUGGUUAAGUGGGAAACGAUGUGGGAAGGCCCAGACAGCCAGGAUGUUGGCUUAGAAGCAGCCAUCAUUUAAAGAAAGCGUAAUAGCUCACUGGUCGAGUCGGCCUGCGCGGAAGAUGUAACGGGGCUAAACCAUGCACCGAAGCUGCGGCAGCGAACGUAUCACCCAAGACAACUUUACGGAGUUGACGAUUGACGGAGCGAAGCGACGUCAAAGCGUUCAUUAAAGUCGAGUUGGCUUAGGGAUACGUUCGUUGGGUAGGGGAGCGUUCUGUAAGCCUGUGAAGGUGGCCUGUGAGGGUUGCUGGAGGUAUCAGAAGUGCGAAUGCUGACAUAAGUAACGAUAAAGCGGGUGAAAAGCCCGCUCGCCGGAAGACCAAGGGUUCCUGUCCAACGUUAAUCGGGGCAGGGUGAGUCGACCCCUAAGGCGAGGCCGAAAGGCGUAGUCGAUGGGAAACGGGUUAAUAUUCCCGUACUUGGUGUUACUGCGAAGGGGGGACGGAGAAGGCUAUGUUGGCCGGGCGACGGUUGUCCCGGUUUAAGCGUGUAGGCUGGUUUUCCAGGCAAAUCCGGAAAAUCAAGGCUGAGGCGUGAUGACGAGGCACUACGGUGCUGAAGCAACAAAUGCCCUGCUUCCAGGAAAAGCCUCUAAGCAUCAGGUAACAUCAAAUCGUACCCCAAACCGACACAGGUGGUCAGGUAGAGAAUACCAAGGCGCUUGAGAGAACUCGGGUGAAGGAACUAGGCAAAAUGGUGCCGUAACUUCGGGAGAAGGCACGCUGACACGUAGGUGAAGUGAUUUACUCACGGAGCUGAAGUCAGUCGAAGAUACCAGCUGGCUGCAACUGUUUAUUAAAAACACAGCACUGUGCAAACACGAAAGUGGACGUAUACGGUGUGACGCCUGCCCGGUGCCGGAAGGUUAAUUGAUGGGGUCAGCGCAAGCGAAGCUCCUGAUCGAAGCCCCGGUAAACGGCGGCCGUAACUAUAACGGUCCUAAGGUAGCGAAAUUCCUUGUCGGGUAAGUUCCGACCUGCACGAAUGGCGUAAUGAUGGCCAGGCUGUCUCCACCCGAGACUCAGUGAAAUUGAACUCGCUGUGAAGAUGCAGUGUACCCGCGGCAAGACGGAAAGACCCCGUGAACCUUUACUAUAGCUUGACACUGAACAUUGAGCCUUGAUGUGUAGGAUAGGUGGGAGGCUUUGAAGUGUGGACGCCAGUCUGCAUGGAGCCGACCUUGAAAUACCACCCUUUAAUGUUUGAUGUUCUAACGUGGACCCGUAAUCCGGGUUGCGGACAGUGUCUGGUGGGUAGUUUGACUGGGGCGGUCUCCUCCUAAAGAGUAACGGAGGAGCACGAAGGUUGGCUAAUCCUGGUCGGACAUCAGGAGGUUAGUGCAAUGGCAUAAGCCAGCUUGACUGCGAGCGUGACGGCGCGAGCAGGUGCGAAAGCAGGUCAUAGUGAUCCGGUGGUUCUGAAUGGAAGGGCCAUCGCUCAACGGAUAAAAGGUACUCCGGGGAUAACAGGCUGAUACCGCCCAAGAGUUCAUAUCGACGGCGGUGUUUGGCACCUCGAUGUCGGCUCAUCACAUCCUGGGGCUGAAGUAGGUCCCAAGGGUAUGGCUGUUCGCCAUUUAAAGUGGUACGCGAGCUGGGUUUAGAACGUCGUGAGACAGUUCGGUCCCUAUCUGCCGUGGGCGCUGGAGAACUGAGGGGGGCUGCUCCUAGUACGAGAGGACCGGAGUGGACGCAUCACUGGUGUUCGGGUUGUCAUGCCAAUGGCACUGCCCGGUAGCUAAAUGCGGAAGAGAUAAGUGCUGAAAGCAUCUAAGCACGAAACUUGCCCCGAGAUGAGUUCUCCCUGAGACUUAGAGUCUCCUGAAGGAACGUUGAAGACGACGACGUUGAUAGGCCGGGUGUGUAAGCGCAGCGAUGCGUUGAGCUAACCGGUACUAAUGAACCGUGAGGCUUAACCUUACAACGCCGAAG